rnacentral:rRNA from 1 species
AGUGAACGCUGGCGGUAGGCCUAACACAUGCAAGUCGAACGGCAGCACAGGAGAGCUUGCUCUCUGGGUGGCGAGUGGCGGACGGGUGAGGAAUACAUCGGAAUCUACUUUUUCGUGGGGGAUAACGUAGGGAAACUUAAGCUAAUACCGCAUACGACCUACGGGUGAAAGCAGGGGACCUUCGGGCCUUGCGCGAUUGAAUGAGCCGAUGUCGGAUUAGCUAGUUGGCGGGGUAAAGGCCCACCAAGGCGACGAUCCGUAGCUGGUCUGAGAGGAUGAUCAGCCACACUGGAACUGAGACACGGUCCAGACUCCUACGGGAGGCAGCAGUGGGGAAUAUUGGACAAUGGGCGCAAGCCUGAUCCAGCCAUACCGCGUGGGUGAAGAAGGCCUUCGGGUUGUAAGCCCUUUUGUUGGGAAAGAAAUCCAGCUGGCUAAUACCCGGUUGGGAUGACGGUACCCAAAGAAUAAGCACCGGCUAACUUCGUGCCAGCCGCCGCAGUAA